AUUGAACGCUGGCGGCAGGCCUAACACAUGCAAGUCGAGCGGAGCGGCGGACGGGUGAGUAAUGCCUAGGAAUCUGCCUGGUCGUGGGGGAUAACGUCCGGAAACGGGCGCUAAUACCGAAUACUAUCAGAUGAGCCUAGGUCGGAUUAGCUAGUUGGGGGGGUACAGGCCUACCAAGGCGACGAUCCGUAACUGGUCUGAGAGGAUGAUCAGUCACAGUGGUACUGUGCCACGGGGCAUACUCCCACGGGAGGCAGCAGUGGGGAAGGUUGGACAAGGGGCGAAAGCCUGGUCCAGCCACGCCGGUUGUGUGAAGAAGGUCUUCGGAUUUUAAAGUACUUUCAGCGGGGAGGCGUUACCCGCAGAAGAAUCACCGGCUAACUCCGUGCCAGCAGCCGCGGUAAUUC
rnacentral:rRNA from 1 species